rnacentral:rRNA from 1 species
GGGUUGUGAGGUUAAGCGACUAAGCGUACACGGUGGAUGCCCUGGCAGUCAGAGGCGAUGAAGGACGUGCUAAUCUGCGAUAAGCGUCGGUAAGGUGAUAUGAACCGUUAUAACCGGCGAUUUCCGAAUGGGGAAACCCAGUGUGAUUCGUCACACUAUCAUUAACUGAAUCCAUAGGUUAAUGAGGCGAACCGGGGGAACUGAAACAUCUAAGUACCCCGAGGAAAAGAAAUCAACCGAGAUUCCCCCAGUAGCGGCGAGCGAACGGGGAGGAGCCCAGAGCCUGAAUCAGUGUGUGUGUUAGUGGAAGCGUCUGGAAAGGCGCGCGAUACAGGGUGACAGCCCCGUACACAAAAAUGCACAUACUGUGAGCUCGAUGAGUAGGGCGGGACACGUGGUAUCCUGUCUGAAUAUGGGGGGACCAUCCUCCAAGGCUAAAUACUCCUGACUGACCGAUAGUGAACCAGUACCGUGAGGGAAAGGCGAAAAGAACCCCGGCGANGGGAGUGAAAAAGAACCUGAAACCGUGUACGUACAAGCAGUGGGAGCCUCUUUAUGGGGUGACUGCGUACCUUUUGUAUAAUGGGUCAGCGACUUAUAUUCUGUAGCAAGGUUAACCGAAUAGGGGAGCCGAAGGGAAACCGAGUCUUAACUGGGCGUUAAGUUGCAGGGUAUAGACCCGAAACCCGGUGAUCUAGCCAUGGGCAGGUUGAAGGUUGGGUAACACUAACUGGAGGACCGAACCGACUAAUGUUGAAAAAUUAGCGGAUGACUUGUGGCUGGGGGUGAAAGGCCAAUCAAACCGGGAGAUAGCUGGUUCUCCCCGAAAGCUAUUUAGGUAGCGCCUCGUGAAUUCAUCUCCGGGGGUAGAGCACUGUUUCGGCAAGGGGGUCAUCCCGACUUACCAACCCGAUGCAAACUGCGAAUACCGGAGAAUGUUAUCACGGGAGACACACGGCGGGUGCUAACGUCCGUCGUGAAGAGGGAAACAACCCAGACCGCCAGCUAAGGUCCCAAAGUCAUGGUUAAGUGGGAAACGAUGUGGGAAGGCCCAGACAGCCAGGAUGUUGGCUUAGAAGCAGCCAUCAUUUAAAGAAAGCGUAAUAGCUCACUGGUCGAGUCGGCCUGCGCGGAAGAUGUAACGGGGCUAAACCAUGCACCGAAGCUGCGGCAGCGACACUAUGUGUUGUUGGGUAGGGGAGCGUUCUGUAAGCCUGUGAAGGUGUACUGUGAGGUAUGCUGGAGGUAUCAGAAGUGCGAAUGCUGACAUAAGUAACGAUAAAGCGGGUGAAAAGCCCGCUCGCCGGAAGACCAAGGGUUCCUGUCCAACGUUAAUCGGGGCAGGGUGAGUCGACCCCUAAGGCGAGGCCGAAAGGCGUAGUCGAUGGGAAACAGGUUAAUAUUCCUGUACUUGGUGUUACUGCGAAGGGGGGACGGAGAAGGCUAUGUUGGCCGGGCGACGGUUGUCCCGGUUUAAGCGUGUAGGCUGGUUUUCCAGGCAAAUCCGGAAAACUAAGGCUGAGGCGUGAUGACGAGGCACUACGGUGCUGAAGCAACAAAUGCCCUGCUUCCAGGAAAAGCCUCUAAGCAUCAGGUAACAUCAAAUCGUACCCCAAACCGACACAGGUGGUCAGGUAGAGAAUACCAAGGCGCUUGAGAGAACUCGGGUGAAGGAACUAGGCAAAAUGGUGCCGUAACUUCGGGAGAAGGCACGCUGAUAUGUAGGUGAAGCGACUUGCUCGUGGAGCUGAAAUCAGUCGAAGAUACCAGCUGGCUGCAACUGUUUAUUAAAAACACAGCACUGUGCAAACACGAAAGUGGACGUAUACGGUGUGACGCCUGCCCGGUGCCGGAAGGUUAAUUGAUGGGGUUAGCGGUAACGCGAAGCUCUUGAUCGAAGCCCCGGUAAACGGCGGCCGUAACUAUAACGGUCCUAAGGUAGCGAAAUUCCUUGUCGGGUAAGUUCCGACCUGCACGAAUGGCGUAAUGAUGGCCAGGCUGUCUCCACCCGAGACUCAGUGAAAUUGAACUCGCUGUGAAGAUGCAGUGUACCCGCGGCAAGACGGAAAGACCCCGUGAACCUUUACUAUAGCUUGACACUGAACAUUGAGCCUUGAUGUGUAGGAUAGGUGGGAGGCUUUGAAGUGUGGACGCCAGUCUGCAUGGAGCCGACCUUGAAAUACCACCCUUUAAUGUUUGAUGUUCUAACGUUGGCCCGUUAUCCGGGUUGCGGACAGUGUCUGGUGGGUAGUUUGACUGGGGCGGUCUCCUCCUAAAGAGUAACGGAGGAGCACGAAGGUUGGCUAAUCCUGGUCGGACAUCA